CACCGUCCUCGCGCGGGAGAAUCUCAUCGCCACAGUGUGAAUGGGUAAGAAGUGAAUACACAGUUGUUCAAUGAGCCAAAUUAAUUUAUUUUCUCCUCCAGACGCUCGAGGACAUUUACGAGCCGGUCAAGCCGCUCGUUGAUCCCCGUGAUCCCCCUGAUGAUUUCUUCCUGCGAUUGCAGGACCCCCUCCGCGAGGACCCUUCCACUGCGUCCGGGUGGUCCAGCGGAAACGCCGCGGCUGGUGGACGCUCCACCGCUUGUCGGCGCGCUGGUGCUGAUGCUGGUGCUGGUGCUGGGGCCGGGGGCCGGGGUGGCCCGAAUGCCGCUGUUCCUGGCCGACGACUCCGAGCCGGCAGACGGGCUGCCGCGGGCCGGGGUUCCGCAAGCCGGCGACACGGCCGACACAUUGAUUUCUGUGACACAAUAAAAAUAUUGGUUCAUUUCAAUUCCUGCUUCUGUGUAUCUGUUGCGUUUACAUCUCUCUCCACGGUAUAAUAGGUAAUGUAAUCCAGUAUUUCGAGGUCAGUUAUGCACAUUACAGUUGUUUAUUGCAUAAAAAGUUAUCGAAAAAUGAAGUUAAGGGCGAAGUAUAAAUCACGUCUAAAAAUAGACUGAAUCCCGACGUUGAAAUGAAAUAUAAACUUAGACUAGACGUCUAAUAUACGUCUUUUGCUCAGUGGGAUGACAAAGCAUGUGGACAUUUGUGUGACACGCCACUUACCCUAUAAUAAUAA